rnacentral:lncRNA from 10 species
CGGGGCUGUGGAAAGAGGAGCUGGGCGCCUGGUUCUGUGACAUCCCUCACACAACAUGCUUCCGAAGGCCCGGCCUGUGGAGACAAGAGGAAAGGGUGGCUGGGCUUGUGGCCUGAGUCAGAUAGCCACUGUUGCCUACCUGGUCUCCCAGCCUCAGCAUCAUCCCUCUAAUCCAUUCUUGCGCCACAUCAGAGUGCCGUCAUGGUGAGAGUGGCUUGUAACUCCCCUGCCUAAUAGGCUUCCCUGGCUCCCAAAUGCCUUCAGAGUAAAGACUAAGCUUUAGUGGUAGAGUGUAGCAGCUUAGGGAACAGCUCUGAAGUCAAACUGACUGGCUCAAAUCCCAACUCCUCCACUUACCAUGUGACUUUAGGCAAGUCACUUAAACUCUCAGUGCCUCAACUGCCCAUCAGUAACAUGGAGAUAAUAAUUACCUCAUCCAGGCCGGGCACGGUGGCUCAUGCCUGUAAUCCCAACACUUUGGGAGGCCAAGGCAGGUGGAUCAUUUGAGGUCAGGAGUUCGAAACCAGC